UACGAAGGGGGCUAGCGUUGCUCGUAAUCACUGGGCGUAAAGCGCACGUAGGCGGACUCUUAAGUCGGGGGUGAAAUCCUGGAGCUCAACUCCAGAACUGCCUUCGAUACUGGGAGUCUUGAGUUCGGGAGAGGUGAGUGGAACUGCGAGUGUAGAGGUGAAAUUCGUAGAUAUUCGCAAGAACACCAGUGGCGAAGGCGGCUCACUGGCCCGAUACUGACGCUGAGGUGCGAAAGCGUGGGGAGCAAACAGG
rnacentral:rRNA from 1 species